rnacentral:rRNA from 1 species
GGCUCAGAACGAACGCUGGCGGCGCGUUUAAGCAUGCAAGUCGAGCGGCAAGGGCCUUCGGGCCCUAGAGCGGCGACGGGUGAGUAACACGUGGACAAUCUGCCCCCCGGCCCGGGAUAGCCCAGGGAAACCUGGAUUAAUACCGGAUGAGACGGGACCCGCGAUGGCGGGAUCCGGGAAAGGCGCUGCGGCGCCGCCGGGGGAUGAGUCUGCGUCCCAUUAGCUAGACGGCGGGGUAACGGCCCACCGUGGCGACGAUGGGUAGCCGGCCUGAGAGGGUGGACGGCCACAUUGGAACUGAGACACGGUCCAGACUCCUACGGGAGGCAGCAGCUAAGAAUCUUCCGCAAUGGGCGAAAGCCUGGCGGAAGCGACGCCGCGUGAACGAAGAAGGCCGUGAGGUUGUAAAGUUCUUUUCGGGAGGGGAACAACCGUGGCAGGGAAUGGCCGCGGGAUGACGUGAAUCCCGGAAUAAGCCCCGGCUAACUACGUGCCAGCCGCCGC